CGGUUGGGUGGGUCCAUCGACCGUCGUGGCGUAUUCGGACGCUUUACCACGACGCGAGGAAAUAGCGAGACCGACCACCCCCUUU
rnacentral:ncRNA from 1 species